AGGCUCACUAGUCAGAGACACUAGAGAGGGCAGGAUGUUCUCUGGCUGUCUUUGUACUACUGGAGACUCAGGCCUCAAAAAGAGACAACAGGGAAGACCACAGUGUUGUCUUGAGGCACAGGGUUCACUCUUGCUUCCCUGAAAGGGAAAAAUCUUGUCCAAGGACCGGGACCACACAGACCAGGGUGAGAAUGCUUCUACCUAAGAGACCUAAGAGAGCCCCAGAGAGAGUCACACAUCAGUGCAGAGACUAUAGUUAAGCUGAACAGCCUGGUGCCUUCUCUGCAGGAAUGGGAUUCCUUCUUUGCCACCCCCCCCCAUACUGGACCUGCUCUUCAUGAGGUAUGCAAACUUCGGCUCUUAUUCUGAAGGGGAUGAACAAAUAAAGGGCACCCUCUGUAGCUUCAUGGACACUUGGAUAGACAGGAAUCCUGAGGACUUUUGCCAGCCCUCAGACCUGCUGAUUCUGAAAUACCUAAAGGCCUCCUUCAGAGUGUACAUGGCACACUCAGAUCUUAGUAUCCGUGUCAAUAGGCUCCUGACCAUGUUGCAAGAAAAAAAAAAAAAAGAAGGCCAAGGAUUCACAGACCCAGGAUGAGGAAGACUCACAUCUGGGGAGACACACACCCUCAGAUCCAGAGAUACAAUGGGUGUAAAUCGGCAGGGAAAACAGCAAAUCUGGAGCCAGAUCCAACUUGUGCACCACAGCUGGAGACCCUCAAUAGAGCACCAGAAAAUUUUGUGGCACAUGAGUAGCUGCAGCCAGAUGUGGCACCAGCAGUCCUGCACACCUGAUAAGCACCUGUGGAAACUGUCUCAGCAUGUCUGUAGAUACAGUGUAUCUUUCAGUUAUCUCCUGCUUGCUACAGGGGGCCUACCUAUUUAAAUAAUGGCCCUGUCAUUGCCUGUUAUCAAUUUGGGUCUAUCCUAUAUCUGCGCUGUUGCUCCUGCCCCUCAUUAUCAGCCCCUGAAUUCAAUCCAGUAGCAGUUCCAGCCCCAUAG